GACGAACGCUGGCGGCGUGCUUAACACAUGCAAGUCGAACGGAAAGGCCCUGCUUUUGUGGGGUGCUCGAGUGGCGAACGGGUGAGUAACACGUGGGUAACCUGCCCUUGACUCUGGGAUAACUUCAGGAAACUGGGGCUAAUACCGGAUAUGAGCUCCUGCUGCAUGGUGGGGGUUGGAAAGUUUCGGCGGUUGGGGAUGGACUCGCGGCUUAUCAGCUUGUUGGUGGGGUAGUGGCUUACCAAGGCUUUGACGGGUAGCCGGCCUGAGAGGGUGACCGGCCACAUUGGGACUGAGAUACGGCCCAGACUCCUACGGGAGGCAGCAGUGGGGAAUAUUGCACAAUGGGCGGAAGCCUGAUGCAGCAACGCCGCGUGCGGGAUGACGGCCUUCGGGUUGUAAACCGCUUUCGCCUGUGACGAAGCGUGAGUGACGGUACUGGGUAAAGAAGCACCGGCUAACUACGUG
rnacentral:rRNA from 1 species